UUGAUGUAAAUUGAUACAAUCACAGGUUUUUACUAUUUACUUAGGUUGAAGAUGUAUAUUAUGAUGACCCUCAAUUCUACCACUAGCUCUGCACACCUAAUCUUAAAAAGCAAUGAAUAAUCUCGGUGUGAAUGCACAACACAGACGCUCAUUCCCAGAAGAAAAGUUGCCUGGAGCAUUAGCAGAUUGCAAAGGCGAAAGAUGUUCAUUCCUGCCUCGUCUGAUUGCUUCUUACACCAGCACCAGCAUUGUCACACCGGUGACUACGCGUUUCAGAGCCAAGCCAUCUGCAACUGGUGAAAAAUGACCCACUGAAGCUGGUGAACAUUUCCCAGCGCUUUUCCAUUGACUUCACACAGCUGUGACAGGCGGUGUCCCAGCAGGGUCCAUGCAGCUCAUCUGCCAAGGGGGAGCGCUGUCAUGAUGGUGACAAACUUUAGGUCUGGGGCUUAGCUUCUGUUUGUUCUAACCACCUCUCACUGCCCCUCAGAAACUACACCCUGUUGGAACUUGGCAACAAAAGUUAUUGACUGAGAGACUGGAGGAGCUUUUACUGCUAAUGUUAUAAAUCUAAGGGGGGAUCAUCCUUCUAAGUCAACUUUUGUGUUUUAGAGAGAGCGAAUCUAAGACAUAGAAAUUUAAGGUCAUGCUACUAGUUGGUGAGUAGUUAAGACUAGGGCCCAGGUCUCUGGUCAGUGCUAUUUCCAUUCUGGGUGCAUGCUUCACGUUAUUAGGUCGUGUAUUUUACUGGUUACCUAUAGGAUUUGCUAGAGAAAAAGGUAUCUGCUUUCUGGAAACUUUCUGCUUAGUACUUUGUCCCAUGUAAUACUCAUAUUGGUUUCUGUCAUUGACCUUGAAUCUGUUGUGUUAAAAAUAUGCUUAGGCUUCUUUAGAUAUAUAGGCUGAUCCAUGCUGUGUGUUUCCAACCAGUCUACCUUACCCUAGGGCAAGUACCAGAGACCCCACAGAGUAGUGGAAAAGUCUUUGGGUUUUAGGGCCUGACAUACCUAAACUGGAAUUCCAAUUUCCCAUUUCCCAUUUGUAUCAUCUUUACAUGUCUUUUAAAGAGCAAACGUUUUUAAUUUUUAUGAAGUCUCAUUUACCAUGAUUUUAAGAGUUUAUUUUUGU